rnacentral:lncRNA from 1 species
UCAUCACCUUGAUGAAAUUCUAUAAUUACACAUUCACUUGUUUAUCUGCACACCGCCCCCCUCUUCCUCCCGCCCCCGGCUCCGUGCAGAAGGAAAGCUCCGACAGGGAGAGGCUGUGGCUGCUUUAUUCAGCACUCUCUACCCAGUGCUGGGACAGACCCUGGCACAGAGACGGUGCUGGAAAAGUCCGUGUGGUGUGCAUAGAGGCGUUGGAGCAGGCGAGUUACAAAAUUAAAGUCAUGUUUCCGGGAUGGCCGAGUGGCAAGGCCAAGCCAGAGUUGGGCAAAGAGGUUGAACGUUCCGUCAUUUAAGAGCCCGGGACAUUUUUUCUUCUAGCUUCCCAAUCAGUGGUUUCUUGCCCUUCACCGGAGCCCGGGGCAUGGCGCAUCUGGGCCGGGAACUCGGACGUGUGUGGGAGGGAUGCGAAACUGUGCCGGCAGCCCCAGAAAAGAAUCAGGCUUUGUCCUCAUCUUUGCAUGCACCUGUCAUCCCAAACCCUUAACAAACAUUGUGUCAUCACCUUCCAAACCUCUCUGUGGAUUCGGCCCCGGGGGGCGGGGGCGGGGGCGGAGGGGGCGGGGAGGCGGCGCUCAGGGAGCGGCAUUCCGCGCAUUCCUGCCUCCUGACAGCUCCUGGUACCACGGCUGCGAGCCCGGGAUGUCCAAAAAUUCCAGCUGACUCAUCUGUGGGUGAGCAAGGCCAACACGAGGGGACGGGUGGAAUCUCCUGGAGCUCUGCCUCUGUCGAGCUCUGGCAAAUGUGUCCAUAGAGCUUUGGCCGCCCCUCCUGCCAAGCAGCCGUCUCUGGAAAUGAGCAUUUGGAAGAUUAGCCCUGACCUAACAUCUGCCACCAAUCCUCCUCUUUUGCUGAGGAAGACUGGCCCUGAGCUAACAUCUGUGCCCAUUUUCCUCUGUUUUACAUGUGGGACGCCUGCCACAGCAUGGCUUGAUAAGCAGUGCAUAGGUCCACAGCCGGGGUUCUGAACCGAAGAACCUCAAGCGCUGAAGUAGAGCACAUGAACUUAACCACUUUGCCAGUGGGCCAGCCCUCAAUAUUUCUAAUUCUUGAUUAUAAAAUGUGAUUGCAGACCUUAGGGCAAAGCUGGUGUGUGCCUCCUACUCUCUCAUCCUGGCCCCACCUGGGCUUUGUUUGCUCUCAGACAAGUCCCUUAACCUCUUCGUAGGGGACCCUUCUCUCUGGAAACUUCCCUCCACUCCCAACCCCUCCCCUCAUGGCCGCAGAGUCAGGAGAAUGGGCCUCUGUGCGAUGCGAUUCCCACUCCUGCCCCCUCACCUGACUCAGCUGGGCCAUCGGACCAUCUCCCGUGAAGACCUGUGCCCGGGUCCAAGGGGCAGCCUGUUAGCCUCCUCAAGGGCCUGGGCCUGUGACUGUUGGCCUUGGACCCAUGGGCAGCCAGCAUCUUUGGCCAAGGGACUGGGUAUCAAAAAGAGCCAUUAUGAAGGGAGAGAAGAAUGAGUUGUAUGUAUGGGAAGAGCAGAAACAAGGAACCCUGGGUUUCUAAAGGCUUUGCAGUGUCUAACUCCAGUCCCUUUCCAAAAAUUGACUACAUGCCUUGGGUUCCAUGAGACACUCCUGCACAGUUAUAACAAAUUCUCCUCCUCUUCCUUUUUUUUUUUUUAACCUAAGCUAACCCAGAAUGGGUUGUACCACUUGCACUUGUAGAGUUAUAACUAAUAUACCCUGUAAAAUAUGAGUCCAAAACAGUUCACAGGAGUAUUAUAAGAAUAAAUUGAGAUAUUUGUAUGAAUAUGCCAUAGAAGUACUAAUGUGAAUUAUCUUACGGUAUUAAUAUUAUUAUUACUA